UAAAAUGUGUUUGUGUUUUACAUGAAGUGCUAUUACAAAAGAAUAAAAAAGUUUUUUAAAAUUAAAAAGCUUAUAUAGUACAAAAGUUACAGUUAAUACUGUCUUCUGGAAUUUCUUCUGAAGGACCUGCCUGAGGCUGUUUACAUUUAAUUUUUUAUGUGUAAAAGUAAAAGGAGUACAUUCUAAGUGUACAGUAAUGUCCUAGGCCUUCACAUUCACUUGCCACUCACUCACUCACUUACCCAGAGAGACUUUCAGUCCUGCAAGCUCGAUUCACCAUAAAUACCCUAUAUGAGCAUUCAAUUUUUUAUCUUUUAUACAGUAUUUUUACUGUACCUUUUCAUUUAGAUACACAAAUACUUACCAUUGUGUUACAACUGCCUAUAGUAUUCAAUACAGUAACAGGCUUUACAGGUUUGUAGCCUAGGAGCAAUAAGCUAUACCAUAUAGCCGAGGUAUGUAGUAAGCUGCACCCUAGAUGGUAUCAUUAGGUUUGUUUAGCUACAUACUAUGAUGUCUGCACAACAACAAAAUCACGUAAUGACACAUUUGUCAUAAUGUGUUCCUAUCAUUAAGCAAUACAUGACUGUAUGUGGGUACUAUUACUGUUUUCUAAAAAGCAUCUAAGCAAGCAUUUAAAAAAAUAAAAAUACAGUUUACAAAAUUAACUUAGAGUAACAAAGUUAGCACUUUUCACUGGCAAUCAAACAGAAAUAUAAAAGUUAGCAACAAAUCUGACAAUUAAAUUCCCUAUGCCAAGCCCAUACGUGGUAGGUAGAUUGGCCCCGAAGAGAUGACCUAAUCUCUGGCAACUGUGCAUGUGUUACCAUACAUGGCAAAAGAGACUGCAGAUGUAACUAAAGUUAAAUCCUUAAAAUAGGAAAAUUAUCCUGGAUUAACUGAGUGGACCCAAUCUAAUCAUGAGAACACUUAAAAGCAGAGAAAUGUUUCCAGCUGUAGUCAGAGAAAUGCAGCAUAAGGAUAAAUAAGAGAGAUUCAAAGUAUGAGAGGAACUUGACUCACCACUGCUGGAGGAGCCACAUGGAAAGCAUGAGAAAGAAUUCAGAAAGCAUCUAGGAGCAAAGACUCAUCCCCCAUCUGGCAGCAAGGAAACAGGGACUUCAGUCCUUCAAGUGCAUGUAACCAAAUUCUACCAGUUGGAACCUGGGUGAGCCUGGGAAUGAAUCCUCCCCUAGAGUCUUCAGAGCCCACUGCAACUGACACUUAGAUUUUGGUCUCAUGAGACAAGGUUUAGAAAAACCAGCUGAGCCCAGCUAGACUUCAGACCUAUACAUCUGUGAGAUAAUAACGUGUUGUUUUAAGCCACAGAAUUUGUGGUAGUUUGUUAUAGCAGCAAUAGAAAACUACAUGUAUUAGCAUUUUCUUAAUUUAUAUUUCAUUCUAAAUAUCUUUAAUUUGUCAAGGUGGAUUAAAAAAUGAGAGGCUAUAUUACCACAUUUCUAGCUUUUCAUUUCCUCACAUUAAUUUUGUCACUAAAAUGGAAACAUAAUGCUUGACUAGAUUCUGACCAUUGAAAAAUACCAAUUUUUAAUUCAUGUUAGUCUUUUACUUUUAAAAAUGUUUUUUAAAAGCCAUUUUCUCUUGGAAUAUUUUACAUGAAAAGUAUGACUCAAGUGAGGGUCUAUCUAUGCAAAGUAGAACUGAGUGUUUCCGACAUACGUAUACAUUACAUCUAUUACCAGCUGGUGCUCACAGGGUUUUGCGGGAAGGGGACAGUGUUAGAAUGCUACAUGAGUUCAUUUCUUUUAUAUAUUCAUAUUAAGUGUAUCUCCAUCUGCUGAAGUACUUCCAUUGGCAUGGAUGAAAAUGUCAGUUGAGUGAAUUCCAGGCAAUUCUCCAAGUUAUCUCAUCAUCCUCAGAAAGCAAAUUCAGCAAGUAAGUAGAUGCUAGUGAUGCAUCUGUAACAACAAAGAAAGAUGUGGUAGAGGGGGAAGGAGCACUGAAUUCAUGAAAACAAGUUCCUUGGAGGAUUGAUAAAGGAAGAUGAUAGUAUUUCUACUCUGUCAGGGUAAUUCAAAAGCAUAUUUUUAAAUUUGUUACUACUUCUUGAACUUUACUAUGUGCCAGAACUAGGUGAUUUAUAUACAUAGCUCAUGUAAAACUUAUCAUGAGAUGCUAAAGAGCUUCCACUUAAAGGAAUUCAAAUUCUUGCUGAUUUUUAAUGAUGACCACUUUUGUUCAUUGCUAAUCUUCCUGUCCUUCAUUUUCUUCAGCCCUUCCCACUACUGCACCCUAAUCUUUAAAAAGCAAAACAAAUAAACAAUAACAAAAGUACUGACUUCAUAUGACUGCUAAAGGAAAAGUGAUGAUAUUGAAUUUGAUCUAUCAUCUUAAUAUUACUAAUUUAUAUUACCUAUUUAAAAUGUUACAGUAGCUCCCUCUAGUUUACAAAGCACUUUAGAAUACAUUAGCUAACUCAAUCCUCAAAAACGCCUGUGAGAUAGAUUUUAUAUAUCCCAUGGAGCUGAGGCUAAGAGGAAAUUGAGCAACUUUCUCAUUUAGUUGAGUGGCAGGCCUAUGUCUAAACCCAAGACUUCUCACUCUGCAUUAAGAGCUUUUCUUUAUCCUAUUUUAGUCACAGGUAGGCUCGACUAACCCAGGAAUGUGCUAUAUCAAUGUACUUGAAAAACAGAAACACCUAACACCUAGAUCUUAGUUUCUAUCACCAUCCUCUACCAUUUUCCAUAACCAGGACUCCUUGAAGAAAUCACCGAUUAUAUAAUUGGAGCAGGGAAAAUACAAGAUUAACUUGGAGUAUCUAAUAAUACUAGAAAGUAAGGGAGUACUCAAAAAACAAAAGGAUAGGGGAGUGACAAAAGAAGACAGGACUUUGGGUCUUUGGUCUUUGGGCUUCCAAUGGCCAAAGCUGGAACAAUUUGAGCAACAAAAUGAAUAAUGCAUAUAAAAUAAAUAUCCAUGAGUGCAUAUUGAUAUAAAUAACUGAAUAAAUAAGUAUGUGAGUAAAUGGGGAAGAAGACCCAAAUCCCCCUUACAUAAGAAUAAUGGACUUAUAUGUCCCCCUUCCAGGAGAUGGAAUUUAUUUUCCCUUCCCCCUUGAGUGUAGACUAAACUUAGUAACUUGCUUCCAAGGAGUGGAGUACGGAAAGUAAAUUUAAAAUAGAGUAACCAGGCAAACACUAUCUUCGCCAGGUGACCAAGGUUAACAUCAUUAGUGAUAAGUCACCUUGACAGCAUAUUCCCUUGAUGUGAUGUGAUGAAAAUAGAAGCUUACCUCUGGUCUUUCUCUCAGAAUCCCAUAACCCCAGCCUAAUAUGAGAAAAACACCAGACAAAUUCCAUUUGAAGGAUAUUCUACAGAAUAUCUAACCAGCACUCUUCAAAACUGCCAAGGUCAUGAAAAACAAGAAAGAAAAGAAACACAGAUGUGAUGAAUGAAGAAAAAUACCAGUUGAGUCACCUAACCAGUACUGAAAAAGUUAAGUUUCAAAAUACGGAAUCACAGGAAGAUGAAAAGGUUCUGAAGCAUUUACAAUUUUAUAAGCUUUCUUCGGGGUAAAACUUAUGUUUAAAACUUGCCAUGCAGGAUGUCUUGCAGCCCCACCACAAAGAAGAUUCAGUGGAGCUGAACAAGCUCACUACCAAGCCACUGAAAAGAGGAAAGAAAGUCCAUCUGAGAUCAAAGGUCGCACUUCCCAUUUUUUUCAAGUUCUGCAAAGGUGAUCUGUUUCCCUUUAGUGCACAGGAAAUAAGUGAGAUGUUCUCUAAAAGCCUUUACCUGUUUCACCUUAUACUGUAAUCACUAAAUCCAGAAGACUAACGCAAACUCAUACUUAAAAAGAAAACAAUUAGCCUAGAGCACGUAAUAGAAAUCAGAAGCAUUUGA
rnacentral:lncRNA from 1 species